rnacentral:lncRNA from 1 species
AAAUAAUAGAAAAUAGAAUUUCAGGCCCAGCCCAAUAAUCUAAAACCCCAAGAUACAAAUCUUGAAGUUUUGGGCCUAUGACAUCUGGGCCGGCCUUAUUCUCAAUCAAAGCAAUUAAUGAUGAUAUCAAAUUAAGAUGAAGUUAGUUAAUUAUAGAACUGAAUGAUUAAAAUGAGGUAUCUUGAUUGUCGAAAAACACGU